rnacentral:lncRNA from 1 species
AAUACUUUGAGCUCAUAGUGACAUCUUGUGGCCAUCUGAUAUAAUUAUAACUUGGAUAUUUACUCAGAAUCUUAAUGCUCUUAGCUCCUGUCAUUGGUUGACUAGGAGAGGAAUUCUAAACCAUGGGAAGUAAACAUUCUAAAAGGUCUUUGGUCAUUCUUUCAGGAACACCUGCUGGUGCCCUAAGAAACAUGGAGCCAAUGGUCAGGCAUGGGGCCAGUGACCAGACAUGCAUCCUGUAAUACCAGCACCCAAAAGAUUGAAGCAGAAGAAUCAGUAGUUCAAGGCCAGCCUAGGCUACAUGACAAAAAUUUGGAAUCCAUCAAAUAAAGAAAUAAGAGGAGCAUGCUGGUAGAGUAUCAAAGUGAACAAGGC